UACGUAGGGACCGAGCGUUGUCCGGAAUCAUUGGGCGUAAAGGGCGCGUAGGCGGAUGUGACAGUCAGGCGUGAAAUUCCUGGGCUCAACCUGGGGGCUGCGUUUGAUACGUUAUGUCUGGAGUUCGGAAGAGGGUCGUGGAAUUCCCAGUGUAGAGGUGAAAUUCGUAGAUAUUGGGAAGAACACCGGUGGCGAAGGCGGCGACCUGGUCCUGGACUGACGCUGAGGCGCGAAAGCGUGGGGAGCAAACAGG
rnacentral:rRNA from 1 species